AAGUCGUAACAAGGUUUCCGUAGGUGAACCUGCGGAAGGAUCAUUAGUGAAUAUUAGGGCGUCUACUUGUAGAGCCUGACCCUCCACUUCUAACACUGUGCAUUAUUCGGUCAUCUGGCAAAGCAUCUUCGGAUGUGGAGCUGUUUGGCUAAUUUUACCAUUAAACAUUAGUAUCAGUAUGUAACGAAAUAUCGAAACAAAAAAAACUUUCAACAACGGAUCUCUUGGCUCUCGCAUCGAUGAAGAACGCAGCGAAAUGUGAUAAGUAAUGUGAAUUGCAGAAUUCAGUGAAUCAUCGAAUCUUUGAACGCACCUUGCGCUCCCUGGUAUUCCGGGGAGCAUGCCUGUUUGAGUGUCAUGAACUCUUCAACCCACCAGUUUCUAGUAGACUGUGUGAUGUUUGGAUCUUGAGCGUUGCUAGUCUGACUAGCUCGUUCGUAAUAUAUUAGCAUCUCUAAUUCGAAUUCGGAUUGACUCAGUGUAAUAGGACUAUUCGCUGAGGACACUCUUAGGAGUGGCCGUAUGAGAACCAGUAGAAGCUUCCAACUACUUAGUCAACUUUGAUUUAGACCUCAGAUCAGGCAGGAUUACCCGCUGAACUUAAGCAUAUCAAUAAGCGGAGGAAAAGAAACUAACAAGGAUUCCCCUAGUAACGGCGAGUGAAGCGGGAAGAGCUCAAAUUUGUAAUCUGGCCCUUUCAGGGUCCGAGUUGUAAUCUCGAGAAGUGUUUUCCGCGCCGGNCCGCAUACAAGUCUGUUGGAAUACAGCGUCAUAGUGGUGAGANCCCCGUAACUGAUGCGGAUGCCCGGUGCUUUGUGAUACACUUUCGAAGAGUCGAGUUGUUUGGGAAUGCAGCUCAAAUUGGGUGGUAAAUUCCAUCUAAAGCUAAAUAUUGGCGAGAGACCGAUAGCGAACAAGUACCGUGAGGGAAAGAUGAAAAGCACUUUGGAAAGAGAGUUAACAGUACGUGAAAUUGUUGGAAGGGAAACGCUUGAAGUCAGACUUGCUAUUCGGGAUUCAGCCGCAAGGUGUACUUUUCGAACCGCAGGCCAGCAUCAGUUUUUGGGGGUGGAAAAGGGUAGAGAGGAGGUAGCAGUCUAGGCUGUGUUAUAGCUCUUUGCUGGAUUCAUCCUUGGGGACUGAGGAACGCAGCACGCUUUAUUGCAAGGCUUUCGAGCUUUUCGUGCUUAGGAUGCUGGUGGAAUGGCUUUAAACGACC
rnacentral:rRNA from 1 species